UACGGAGGGUGCAAGCGUUAUCCGGAUUCACUGGGUUUAAAGGGUGCGUAGGCGGGUAAGUAAGUCCGUGGUGAAAUCUCUGAGCUUAACUCAGAAACUGCCGUGGAUACUAUUUGCCUUGAAUAUUGUGGAGGUGAGCGGAAUAUGUCAUGUAGCGGUGAAAUGCUUAGAUAUGACAUAGAACAUCGAUUGCGAAGGCAGCUCGCUACGCAAAUAUUGACACUGAGGCACGAAAGCGUGGGGAUCAAACAGG
rnacentral:rRNA from 1 species